rnacentral:misc_RNA from 1 species
GGCAACUUCUUCUACUCAUAGACUUAAUGGGGAAGCCUCUAAUUUGGUGACUGCUUCUACUCCUUGUGUAAUUAAUACGCAAAUCUCUAACUUGGCGACUUCCUCUAUUCAUGGACUAAAUGGAGAAGCCUCUAGUUUGGUGACUGCUUCUAUGGCUCAUGAACUUAAUGAACACGUCUCUACAUCAGUGACUAAUUCUACUCCUAAUGAACCUAAAUGUCCAAGUUUCUGAUUCAGUGAUUGCUUCUUCUCUUCAUGAAUUUAUUCCUAUUGAGAUCAAUCGUUUUAAUGGGAAGAAUCAUCAAUUCUGGGCAACCCUUAAGGAAUUGUUCUUAAAGCAAUAGAAGAUUGAAACCAUGCCCUAGUGUUGCUGUAAGACCAGAAGCAAGUGCUGAAGAAAUUGCACAAGACAAAGCUGCUGAGCAAAGUGGUUUAGUGAUGAUCAUCUGUGUCGCUACAACAUCUUUGACUUCUCUAUCUGAUGCUCUUUAUUAUCAAUAUUCAAAGAAGACUAAGAGCGCCAGAGAACCAUGGGAAGAGCCAAAAUUAGUUUAUCUUUAUGAGGAGUUCGGAAAGAAGAGAUCUCAAGUUAGAAAUUACAUUGAAUUUCAGAUAGUAGAUGAAAAACCAAUUCUUGACUAAGUUCAAGAACUUGAUAG